CUGCCUACGGCGGGAGGUUGGGAAGGACAUUCCCCCAUUUCCAUUUGCUCUGCCAUUCAAAACCUUGUGAGGGCCCUCAGGGAAGAAUCCCUUUGCAGAUGAGGAAACUGAGGACUCAUGUGGUGAAGUGGGAGAGCUGAUUCUAGAGUCCAGGUGCCCUCAGUGUCAGCCCCUGCCAUUCUGACCACGCUGCACUCAGAUCUUGUUCUACCCUCUGGAGUUUGUCCACAUCACAGUUUUCUGAUGCCUGCAUUAAUUUGAUUUUAGUGACCCACUGGAAACCAGUGUCAGCAUAACAACAGUUACCAGAGCUAAACCUACAAAGUAGAACACAGGAGCUAUGUGGAGAAUUGAUGGAGGGACAUUCCAGGCAGAGAGAACAGCAAACACAAAGGCCUUGAAGAGUGAGGCUGCUUGGCAUAUUUGAUGGACCUUGAGAAUGAAACACUUGGGAUUUAAAUCUCAAUCAACCAUAAAUAGGUUUUUCAUUCUUUUAAUUUUUCAUAGUGUUUCAUUCUUUUAAUUUUCUCAUUAAACAGAAAAAUGUUUUUGUUUCAA